UCCCUGGAGGACCGGUGGUUAGGCCACAGCACUCUCACCGCCACAGCCCGGGUUCGAUUCCCGGCCAGGGGU
rnacentral:tRNA from 1 species